rnacentral:rRNA from 1 species
UACGGAGGAUCCAAGCGUUAUCCGGAUUUAUUGGGUUUAAAGGGUGCGUAGGCGGCUUAUUAAGUCAGGGGUGAAAGACGGUGGCUCAACCAUCGCAGUGCCUUUGAUACUGAUGAGCUUGAAUACACUUGAGGUAGGCGGAAUGUGACAAGUAGCGGUGAAAUGCAUAGAUAUGUCACAGAACACCAAUUGCGAAGGCAGCUUACUAAGGUGCAAUUGACGCUGAGGCACGAAAGCGUGGGGAUCAAACAGGAUUAGAAACCCGUAGUCC